rnacentral:rRNA from 1 species
GAUGAACGCUGGCGGCGUGCCUAAUACAUGCAAGUCGAGCGAAUGGAUUAAGAGCUUGCCCUUAUGAAGUUAGCGGCGGACGGGUGAGUAACACGUGGGUAACCUGCCCAUAAGACUGGGAUAACUCCGGGAAACCGGGGCUAAUACCGGAUAACAUUUUGAACCGCAUGGUUCGAAAUUGAAAGGCGGCUUCGGCUGUCACUUAUGGAUGGACCCGCGUCGCAUUAGCUAGUUGGUGAGGUAACGGCUCACCAAGGCAACGAUGCGUAGCCGACCUGAGAGGGUGAUCGGCCACGCUGGGACUGAGACACGGCCCAGACUCCUACGGGAGGCAGCAGUAGGGAAUCUUCCGCAAUGGACGAAAGUCUGACGGAGCAACGCCGCGUGAGUGAGGAAGGCUUUCGGGUCGUAAAACUCUGUUGUUAGGGAAGAACAAGUGCUAGUUGAAUAAGCUGGCACCUUGACGGUACCUAACCAGAAAGCCACGGCUAACUACGUGCCAGCAGCCGCAGUAA